GGUGAGUUGUCCGAGUGGCUGAAGGAGCACGCCUGGAAAGUGUGUAUACGGCAACGUAUCGAGAGUUCGAAUCUCUUGCUCACCGCCA
rnacentral:tRNA from 4 species